GACGGUGGGGUGGCGGCGGUGCUGCAGCGACGGGGAGCACGACACAGGCCUUGUCUACGCUUGCUUGAUGCUUUCAGAGGUUCACAGAACUGGAUAGGUCCAUAGUCGUGGUGUAUAUACGGGGCUUUGUUCUGUGGAGGUACCGACGUUCCCUUUCUGUGAAUCGGCGGGCGUGUAUUCGAUGUGAUCGAAUGUUAGACUACGAGUACGGUUGAAUCCUCGGACAGAGCGAUCGUCUGCGGUGGUUAUGGAUGCGAUUCUUUAGUCGUUCUGGAAUGCGGACUCCUACCAUAUCCAUGACCUACUCUUAAGGGGAGUAUCCAAUCAAUCGACGCUACCCCGGCGGAUGAAUGUUUUCACGACAGGAGUUUUCACGGGUUUCAGCAUGAUUCGCAGACUAAGCACGAAAUCAUAUUUUAGGAGUUUCGCUCUGUACAAAACUGCUGGUCGCUCCGCAAGCACGAAACAUCUCCCGAUAUUCAUAGAGACUCCGAUAUUUCGGUGCAGAACGUGCUCGCACCUGUGGCUGCCAGUGGCAUCAUUCCAAAGCGUGCCUGUCAUUGUCGAUUGCCCCGUUAUCUGAGGUUCAGUCAGCAUCCGCUGUACCAUGAUGUGCUUCGGUCUCUGCUUUUCGCGCGUCUGCUUCGCUGUCCGCUUCACCGGGCACCCUGACUCGUGGAGCGCGUACGUCGACCCAGACGCAUCGCUGGGAAUCGUGCCGCAUCCAUGUGCAUCCACAGUUGUACGCUCUCGUGGAUGGAGCAGGAGUGCAGCCUUGGCAUGCUAUAGCGCAUCGAUUGCUCUGUGGUAUCACGAAACGACACGAUACGAACGAUCGAAGGUUUCCUUCCCCGUCGCAUGAAAAGCGUUGGUGAAUGCACGCUUGUCGCCUGGGUAGCACUGGAACCGGUGGCGACCCAGCGCUGUCUCAUUGACUCUUGCCGGAGAUCGUCCGUACGCGCCAUUUUGGACGUCUCGGGAUGCUCUAGGUGAAGCAUCCGAAGCACUGGUGUCGGCGCGAGACUGUACGCAGAGCGUCGAGCUGCAGGAUGGGUGGCUAGGGGCUAUGGCGCCUCUGCUGCAUCUCCUGGUAUGCCGCAUGGCGUUUAUGACGCUCGACUCUCGAUGACGGUGCGCUCUGGGAAACUCGAGCCGCUUCAUCUGCUUUCACCCAGGAUGCAAGGCUCUGUCCUUUUGAUCAAUACCUAUGGCGACGGGCACGACACGCCCACACAAGUAGGCAUCCAAAGUCUUUCUCCAGUACUACCUCGAAGGGUGGAACGUGAUUCUCGAGUUUCGAGGUAGGCAUAGGUUUCAAAAAGGGCAUGCACAGGGAUAUGAGGUCGCUUUCGAUUUUCGAUGUAAGCAUCUUUCCAUUUCCUCCAUGUACUCGAUAAAUCUUACACAAACUCCGCCGACGCUCUUCUGCCGAGCU